rnacentral:rRNA from 1 species
CGGCGAGUGGCGAACGGGUGAGUAAUAUAUCGGAACGUGCCCAGUAGCGGGGGAUAACUACGCGAAAGCGUGGCUAAUACCGCAUACGCCCUACGGGGGAAAGGGGGGGAUCGCAAGACCUCUCACUAUUGGAGCGGCCGAUAUCGGAUUAGCUAGUUGGUAGGGUAAAGGCCUACCAAGGCAUCGAUCCGUAGCUGGUUUGAGAGGACGACCAGCCACACUGGGACUGAGACACGGCCCAGACUCCUACGGGAGGCAGCAGUGGGGAAUUUUGGACAAUGGGGGAAACCCUGAUCCAGCCAUCCCGCGUGUGCGAUGAAGGCCUUCGGGUUGUAAAGCACUUUUGGCAGGGAAGAAACGGCGCUGGUUAAUAACUGGCGUCACUGACGGUACCUGCAGAAUAAGCACCGGCUAACUACGUGCCAGCAGCCGCGGUAAUACGUAGGGUGCAAGCGUUAAUCGGAAUUACUGGGCGUAAAGCGUGCGCAGGCGGUUUGGCAAGAAAGAUGUGAAAUCCCAGAGCUUAACUUUGGAACUGCAUUUUUAACUGCCAGACUAGAGUGUGUCAGAGGGGGGUAGAAUUCCACGUGUAGCAGUGAAAUGCGUAGAGAUGUGGAGGAAUACCGAUGGCGAAGGCAGC